rnacentral:rRNA from 1 species
GAUGAACGCUGACAGAAUGCUUAACACAUGCAAGUCAACUUGAACUUCGGUUUGGGUGGCGGACGGGUGAGUAACGCGUAAAGAACUUGCCUCACAGAUAGGGACAACAUUUGGAAACGAAUGCUAAUACCUGAUAUUAUGAUUAUAUGGCAUCGUAUAAUUAUGAAAGCUAUAUGCGCUGUGAGAGAGCUUUGCGUCCCAUUAGCUAGUUGGAGAGGUAACGGCUCACCAAGGCGAUGAUGGGUAGCCGGCCUGAGAGGGUGAUCGGCCACAAGGGGACUGAGACACGGCCCUUACUCCGUCGGGAGGCAGCAGUGGGGAAUAUUGGACAAUGGACCAAGAGUCUGAUCCAGCAAUUCUGUGUGCACGAUGAAGUUUUUCGGAAUGUAAAGUGCUUUCAGUUGGGAAGAAAAAAAUGACGGUACCAACAGAAGAAGUGACGGCUAAAUACGUG